UCAUUAAAGAGUUCUAUAACUCCCAAACCCAUGUGAACAUACCUAACGUUGCCUCGGCAGGUCGCACCUACCUUGUAGCACCCUACCCUGUAGGGCCUACCCGGGAGGUGCGGGUAAGCCUGCCGGCGGCCCACCAAACUCUGUUUGAUAUUGAAUUCUGAACCUAUAACUAAAUAAGUUAAAACUUUCAACAACGGAUCUCUUGGUUCUGGCAUCGAUGAAGAACGCAGCGAAAUGCGAUAAGUAAUGUGAAUUGCAGAAUUCAGUGAAUCAUCGAAUCUUUGAACGCAUAUUGCGCCCAUUAGUAUUCUAGUGGGCAGGACCGUUCGAGCGUCAUUUCAACCCUUAAGCCUUCGUUGCUUAGUGUUGGGAGCCUACGGCAACGUAGCUCCUCAAAGUUAGUGGCGGAGUUGGUUCACACUCUAGACGUAGUAAUUUUUUAUCUCGCCUAUUAGUUGGACUAAUCCCCUGCCGUAAAACCCCUAAUUUAUCAAGGUUGACCUCGAAUCGGUUCAGACAAACUCGCUAAAUUGAAGCAUCUUAGUCAGCGAAGGAAAAGAAACCAACAGGGAUUGCCCUAGUAACGGCGAGUGAAGCGGCAACAGCUCAAAUUUGAAAUCUGGCCCUCGGGUCCGAGUUGU
rnacentral:rRNA from 1 species